GCUUCUAAUUGUAGCUCCCAGAACAUCAUGGGAAGGGGGUUCAGGGUAGAGCCCUGGGGUGUGGGAGAUGCGAAAAGAAGAGCCCCGCCAUCACGGCAGAGUGUGACGAUAACUUUUGUUUUUCCUUCUUGCGUUGUGUUUGGCACCAAGGGAAAAGAAGUCUGUGUGUGUGUCUUGAUGCCAGGCAAGACCUGUCCAGCUCACCCUCUCUCUCUUUUUACUGCCUCCUACCGCAGGCCAUGGGCAGGAGAAGUGCGCAUUGAUCCCCACAGGCUUGGUCUCGAGAGCCUGCACCAUCUAGCAGGAGGGAAGAGAAUCAUAGCGGGUCCUGGAGGCGACAGAGGGGGAGGUGGGGUGACUGGCCACGCAGCCCUUUGGCUCUGUCUCUUUUCAUCGCGUGGGGCUGCUCCAGAGCAUGUGGGAGACGGAGGGAGGCCGAGCUCUCGCGCACCGGUAGAGCUGUGGGCAGGGCUGCCUCGCUCGUCGGUUAUUUCCUGCGCUUGCAGAUGAGUCGCCCAGGAGCCCCAGGCAGAGGAGAAGCUGGAAGAAGUGGAGCUGAGCAGGCUGGACAUCCCGGUAAGCAGAGAUGAACAGUCCUGAGCUUUCUGCCUUUCCCACACUGGGUGUGAGUCAGCGGUGACGGCACUCUCUUCCUCAGCUCUUCCCAGGGGAAAGAAGUCAUGAGGACGGAGUCCAGCCCCGAGGUGAGAUGGAAAGUGAGCGAGAGCAGUGACAGCGUGAAUCCUGUUGAUGCCAGGCAAGACCUGUCCAGCUGGGAGCGAAGCAGCUGUCGCUGUGAGUGAGCACUGUGAUCGUGACCCCUGCUGGCCAGGCACCACUGGUAGCCAGAUGAGUCAGUGUUCUAGGAAGAGAAGGAGGAGGCUGCAGGAUGGCGAAGGAGAGAAAAUCAACACUGCAGGAGCAGGAGAAGGUAAAGACCAGGAGAAUCCAGAAGCCAAGUCACCAGAGAGGCACAGGGAACCUCUCUGCAACCUCCCCAAAACUCUCAUUUGAAGAGGGGUGUGGACUGUGGAAUAUGUAGCUUUCUCCCAAAAAACAUAAAGAAAUAGCUUUGAGCUCUGA